rnacentral:rRNA from 1 species
UACGAAGGGGCUAGCGUUGUUCGGAUUACUGGGCGUAAAGCGCACGUAGGCGGAUCGUUAAGUCGGGGGUGAAAUCCUGGAGCUCAACUCCAGAACUGCCUUCGAUACUGGCGAUCGUUGAGUCCGGAAGAGGUGAGUGGAACUCCUAGUGUAGAGGUGGAAUUCGUAGAUAUUAGGAAGAACACCAGUGGCGAAGGCGGCGUCACUGGUCCGGGUACUGACGCUGAGGUGCGAAAGCGUGGGGAGCAAACAGG